UCCUUGACCAUUUGCAGGCACAUAUGCCAUUUUUCCCUAUGUUCAAAGUGAACAGCCUUCACUUCCUGUUUCUUGAAGCUAUAGAUGAGGAGGUUCAGCAAGGAUGUGAUCACACCUCUAUACAAUAUACAAGUAUGAAAUUGUGCAUACUGUAUAGAGACCGCUUGCUCCAGGACUGAUCCUAAAGGUGGGCUGAUGUGCUUGAAUAGAGCUGUCCCAUAGAACAAAAGCACCAUGGUGAGAUGGGAGUAACAGGUUUUGCCUUGGCCACCCAGAGGAAGAAAUACCUAGAAUGGCAAACAUAAUUUUUGAGUAAGCAAAGAGGUUCAGAGGAAGUGUCACAAGUCUGAGAAAUGCAAUAGAUCCAGAUAGAAGAAUGGUGUUAGCAUGGGAUCAGUGCAGGACAGAGGGAAGCGUGAAGACCGUUUCAUAACUGAAGUGGAGAAUGAUAUUGGGACCACAGAACUGCAAGUUUGGAUACAAAGAUUGUUCACUUGUGAGUUCAGAAACCCCAUCUUGUUGGUUGCAUUGACCGUUGCAGUGCAGAGAGGUCGGUUCAUGACCAUGGUAGAGAGCAGAGGGUGGCGUGGAGAAGGCUUUGCCUUGACCCUCAGAAAAACAAAUGGCUAGGAGGCAGAGAUGGUGUUAGAGUAAGAAAAGAGGACCAGCGGCAAGUCACAAAUCCUAGCAAUGUACAUGACCCA
rnacentral:lncRNA from 1 species